UACGUAGGGGGCAAGCGUUGUCCGGAAUCAUUGGGCGUAAAGAGCGCGUAGGCGGCUCGGUAAGUCCGCUGUGAAAGUCCAGGGCUCAACCCUGGAAUGCCGGUGGAAACUGUCGGGCUAGAGUCCGGAAGAGGCGAGUGGAAUUCCUGGUGUAGCGGUGAAAUGCGCAGAUAUCAGGAAGAACACCCGUGGCUAAGGCGGCUCUCUAGUACGGUACUGACGCUGAGACGCGAAAGCGUGGGGAGCGAACAGG
rnacentral:rRNA from 1 species